rnacentral:tRNA from 1 species
CCUCGUCGCUCAGAUGGUAAAGAAUCUGCCUGCAAUGCAGAAGGCCCAGGUUUGAUCCCUGGGUCAAGAA